GUAGAGAUCCAUCCAUCAUGGAUCUUAGCAAGCUAGUGGGAGCUAUAAACGUCUUAUGAGAGAAAGAUCAAAUCGUUUGAUUUCUCAUAAAGAUGUAAAUGAAUCUUUUGUUUACUAGGUUUACAAAAGAUUAGUGGGAGUUAAUCAUAUUCCUAAAAUUGAAUAUAUAUGAUAUAUUAAUUUUGGAAAUGAAAAGAAUACUUCUUCGUUAAAGUUAUGACUUUAAACAUUCUAUA
rnacentral:lncRNA from 1 species